GUCCCCAACUUACACCAGGGCCUCUUAUGAAUGGAGAGGUUUGGUUUUUAAUGGGGUAUAAUAAACUACUUUCUUCCCUCCCUGCUGGAUGCUAUUCCUUUCAGGGCCUACAGACAAGUGCACAUU